AGGACGAACGCUGGCGGCGUGCUUAACACAUGCAAGUCACGGGGGGUCGCAAGACCAACCGGCGAACGGGUGCGUAACACGUGAGCGACCUGCCGAUUCGAGGGGGAUAGCCGGCCCAACGGCCGGGUAAUACCGCAUACGCUCUUUGGCCCGCAUGGGUUGGAGAGGAAACCUCCGGGGCGAAUCGAGGGGCUCGCGGCCUAUCAGCUAGUUGGCGGGGUAACGCCCACCAAGGCAAUGACGGUAGCUGGUCUGAGAGGAUGGCCAGCCACA
rnacentral:rRNA from 1 species